rnacentral:rRNA from 1 species
GAUGAACGCUGGCGGCGUGCCUAAUACAUGCAAGUCGAGCGAACAGAUGAGGAGCUUGCUCCUCUGACGUUAGCGGCGGACGGGUGAGUAACACGUGGAUAACCUACCUAUAAGACUGGGAUAACUUCGGGAAACCGGAGCUAAUACCGGAUAAUAUAUUGAACCGCAUGGUUCAAUAGUGAAAGGCGGUUUUGCUGUCACUUAUAGAUGGAUCCGCGCCGCAUUAGCUAGUUGGUAAGGUAACGGCUUACCAAGGCAACGAUGCGUAGCCGACCUGAGAGGGUGAUCGGCCACACUGGAACUGAGACACGGUCCAGACUCCUACGGGAGGCAGCAGUAGGGAAUCUUCCGCAAUGGGCGAAAGCCUGACGGAGCAACGCCGCGUGAGUGAUGAAGGUCUUCGGAUCGUAAAACUCUGUUAUUAGGGAAGAACAAAUGUGUAAGUAACUAUGCACGUCUUGACGGUACCUAAUCAGAAAGCCACGGCUAACUACGUG